GUCAUAAAAUAAACAUGUUUUAGCUAACACAAGUAAAAUACAUGUAUUUAGCAUAAAUUGUAUAAAAUACCAAACGAAAUAAAUAAUUGAUAAUUAUUUACUGCCUUACAAAAAAGGUUUGCAAAUAAAAUAAUAAUAGGUACCUAGUUAUGAUGUCUAUAAUAUAAUGUCUAAGUGUCGAACUACAAAUAAUUUGGUGAAAUUCGGUACACUAUUUUAGAUAGGUACCUAAUACUGUUCAUUAACAUCUCAACUGACCUGCCCAUUUUCCGUACUUGACGCUCAGCGGAGUCCGGUCGGGCAUCACCAGUGGCAAUAGAUGUGCCGCGCAUCCCUUUGCCAUCUCGAGUAGUACGUCGCAUAUCAGGAACAACACGGCCAAGAACCCGAUGACGGCGAACCCGAGUACGAUGGGUCCGGUCAACGAGUCUUCCGAGUCAAACACCUGUGUGAAUAUGAUGGACGCCGUUUUGACGUUUUUUUCGGACGGGGUUUAGGAAAAAAAAAGCCAAACAACGUUCUCGGAAAUGGCCUACGAGCGAGAAGAAAUUGAGCGUGUCGUGAAGGAAAUCGCGUUUGGCCAAAC